UAUAAAAUUCCAUACCCAAAAUACAAUAUGACUCCACCACAUAAACCAUAUAUUGUUAACAAAUUUUUGUUUCCACGUCCAAUACCAAUAUAGCAAAAUUAAAUGAAACCGGUACCAUCUGGUCAUAGACCCCGAAACAGAAGUUUUAUACAAACAAGAUAAAAGACCGAUCCUUUCAUCUAUUAAUAUGACAAUAACCCAAAUGAAAUCGAAAACACAUAAGAUUUGAGAAUUAUUGAUUCCAACAUAAUGAGAACAAAUAAAAACCUGAAAAUCACUUUGAGACAACCGUAUGAAUCUUGUACUCAAAAACUCCAAAUCAAAUCCGAGAUUAAUACCAUCUGACAACUCCGUAAUCAGCCCAAGAUCUACCAAAUCAACUCGAAAAACAGAGAUCAACCGAAUAGAGAUCCAUUUGGAACCAAAGAUUAACCGUAAGGAGACAAUCAAAUUGAAUCCGCUCACCAAUCUAAGAAACAACCUUAUUAAUCCAUUCCAAAAACCAGAAAAAACCGAAAUCCACCUGCUCAUGAAGCCUGAAAAUUUCAAUACAACAUCAAUCGUGAAGCCUGAAAUUUUCAAGACCACAAAUCGCAGCUCCCAUUGAUCUUUGUUCUCUGCCUCCGUAAGUAAUACUCUCGAAUCCGCCAUUGCAAACAGAAACAAAUCAAUCAAACCAUUAUUAAGAUACACGAACGCAUACCCGUAUACCUUCAAAUCCCUCCUCGGAGCAAGAUCCAGUCUUGUUACCUUGAAUCCGAUUUGAAAAUCUCUCAAAACCUCCGCUGCUUCCUUAGACCAGAUCCAAUUAACCCGAAAAUCCUUCCUCAGCCCUCGUAGAAGAUCAUCAAACCUCUCCGAGAUCAACCCAAUAACCCUAAAAACCAACCGAAAACCAUAGAUCCACGCACUGGAGUUCCAUUUCAAAUCGUUAAUUAACCAAGUCAGGAAUCUCCGAUCAAAAUCCCUCAUGGUCGGGUGCUAAAACCCUUCUAAAAUAAACCAUAAGGAUCAUAGUUCAUACUCGUUAUGCUAUUCUUAAUUUUAUUUGUGACGAAUGAAUUGACGAUGAUGCAGGUCAUAUGGGUCGGUGGUGGUUCCGUUACGGAGACGUUGACGGUGCGUUAUUGGCGUCAAUAUGAAGUAUCUCUCUCAUUCAACAAAAAACAGAAAAAGCAUUAACUUUCCCCAAAUAUGGAAAGCAAGAAAUCAUGGGAAAAUCUUUUCUUCUUCCCCAAAUAUAUUUGAACUUGUCUCAUAAUCACAAGAUUCCGAUAUGUGUACAAAUAAAUAAAUAAACAAAUUUAAUUCAUUCAUGAUUUUUUUUUAAAGGUGUAUAG
rnacentral:lncRNA from 1 species